rnacentral:tRNA from 1 species
GAGGAUAUAGCUCAGUGGCAGAGUGUAUGCUUAGCUAGCACAAGAUCUUGGAUUCAAUCUCCAGUACUUCCA